GAAGUGAAAAGCAAAUGUAUCCACAGUAACACAAAGGGGUGCAUGUCAGGUGCAUAAAAGCAAGAACAGAGCUCGUCCCUGCUUGUCCUUGUGCAGGCUGAAAGCCAGCAGCUCUGGAAGUCCACAGAGAAAAGAGAAGGAAGAAAAGCUCAUCCUGCCUGGGGAGGGAGGUGGGAAGUGGAGCAAGAAACACUCUGUUCUCUGGAGCAUUUACAAGAUAAGACCGCAAUGAUAACUUCAGCAUCUCCCUGUUCUUAAGUAUUUGACUUCAGCUCUGUAAAUGCUCAUCUGCUGUCAGCAAUGGGCAUGUGCUCAUUUUUUACAGAUUAUAUAUGAGUUACACAUUGAGGUAUUAGACAAUUUAGGAAUCUGCAUAGAAAGAAACAGAUUGUUCUAGCUUUUACAGAUGUCAACAGGGGAUAUAUACAGUAUUUCAUAUAAUUAUUCUAUGACUACUUGAUUUGAGUAUCUUCAGACACGUAAAGAGAGUGAAGUUGUGACGCUUUCCUCAGGAAGGUUUAGCCAGCAGAAGCAACCCUCCACUGAAGGAAGGCAGAGGAACUGCAAGUGUCUGCCUGAAAGAAGCAGCUUUUCCUUCUGAGAAGGAGGAGAAAGAAAAGUCCAGGACAGCUAGAAAGCAGCACCACAGAUGGAGCUGAGACCCUCUCUUGUCCUGUAACCUGGAAGUUGCACAGAAGCAGAUAUGGUAUGUCUGCAACUUGCUGCUACCAACAGGAUUCCAGAAAACACUGCCACAGAGCAGAAUAAUUAUCUAUUUAUAACCUCGAAUGAGGCACAUUUUAACCUUGAACUCUUGUGGGUGGUGAGAAAGUGCAUUGUACAUCACUUGUUUUGUAUAUUAUAUUAAUUACUAUUAUUUCUAAUACAAUUACUGUUACUACUAUCACUUCCUUUUCUGUUCUAUUAAACUGUCUUUAUCUCAACCCACAAAUUUUACUUUUUUUUCUCACCUCUAUCCUGCUGGAGGGCAGUGGGGAGAAUGUGAGAGUGGCCGUAUGGCAUUUAGCUUCCUGCAAAGUUAAACCAUGGCAUCAGGAAGGUGAACUUUGAGACUGAAAGCAAUGGGUGUUCACAGCCAGAUCAUGAAGUAAAAGUGUAGUUGUGACUACACUUGAAAACUUCAUGUGAACCUGCUGCCUGGUGAAAGGAAACCAUAGGCAAUGUGGUAUCAGCCUUGUCUCCAGUUACCACAAUUAGGUUGAAAAAAACCCCAUCAACUUCUUGACAUUUAUUGGUUUUGGAGUGCAAGUGGACCAUUAACCUUGUGAACGUUGUGCUGCACCAACAGUAAUAUUUAAGUAAUGUCACCGUCAUAUUUUCUGGAAAAAUCUCUUUGCCCAGGAUUCUUCUCCUGGGAAGCUGAGAAGCCUCAGAGAAAAAUGAAAACAAUAAUUAUUUGAAUUGCUUCUCCUUUGUUUUGCUGCUUUGGAAUGUGGUUUGGACUUUGUUUACCAACAGGUGCAUGUUUGAUUGGUUUCGUGUGAAUUGUUUUGACUAAAUCACCAAACACUGUCCAGCUGUGUCUGGACUCUGGUGAGAGUCAGGAGUUUUUCAUUAGUAUCUUUCUACCUUUCUG